UUUAAAAAUGUAUUUAGUUAUUAUUGAUAUUUUUUUUAUUAAUAAAUAUAUUUUUAAUUUAUUUAAUUAGGUGUGUGCAUAAAUAUUUUUAUUUAAAUUUAUAUAUAUCAAAUGGAGAGCAAAGGCCUCUGACAUGGCGGUGUUCGGUUCAGUUUUCUGCUGUUUCCCAACAACAAGAUGAACUUCAGCAAGAAGAAGAUAAAGUCACUCACCUCUUCCAGGAAGCCUCACCAUCAGUUGUUUUUAGCAAGGACCUUCAGUUAGCUAAAGUCCCCAACAGUCCUUUGGUCUAGUUACGCUUACAGAGGCUGAGAAUGCUAAAGUUGAAGUAACAGGCAACAAAUUACCAUGCUGUAGCUAAAUUGGCCACAGAUAGAAGCAGAUUUACAGCACUUUAUUCUAGUUGAUGCUGGAGGCAAUAGCUUGUACAGGGAAGGCAAGAUCAUUGGUUUUGUUCCAUCUUAUUAACUGGCUGUCCUUAAGCAAGGUUUGGAAAUGCAUGCUGUUUUGUCACCUGCAGGCUGAUGUUGAAGGAUAUGAAUUGAAGCCUGUUGCUCUUGGUACUUCUAGGGAAUUACAUGUGGAUCAAAGCUGCUUUGCAAUUGGGAAUCCUUAUGAAUAUUAAAACACUCUAACAAUAGUGAUAACUCCUUCAGUAACACAUCUGUUACUUAGACUGUUUUCAGGACAAUGGUCAAUAUCUACUUGUAAGUUCACGUGACUGUAAGCAAACAUCAAAUAGAAACACCCAAGCCUUUUUCUUUGCAGCUCAAAUUUUUUAUUUAGGCAAUGAUAUUAUUGACUAUGUUAAGCAUUAUUUAAGAGCAAUAGCUGUUCACUUGUUCUUCUC